rnacentral:rRNA from 1 species
AGAGUUUGAUCAUGGCUCAGAGCGAACGUUAGCGGCGCGCCUAACACAUGCAAGUCGCACGAGAAAGGGCUUCGGCCCCGGUAAAGUGGCGCACGGGUGCGUAACACGUAGGCAAUCUUCCCUUAGGCGGGGGAUAACGUUUCGAAAGAGACGCUAAUACCGCAUGAGACCACGGACGCUUCGGCGACUGCGGUCAAAGCUGGCCUCUUCAUGAAAGCCAGCACCUAAGGACGAGCCUGCGGCCCAUCAUGUUAGUUGGUAGGGUAAUGGCCUACCAAGGCGAAGACGGGUAGCUGGUCUGAGAGGAUGAUCAGCCACACUGGCACUGAAACACGGGCCAGACUCCUACGGGAGGCAGCAGUGGGGAAUAUUGGACAAUGGGCGCAAGCCUGAUCCAGCGACGCCGCGUGAGUGAUGAAGGCCUUCGGGUUGUAAAGCUCUGUUGAGGGAGAAGAAAACAGUUGGCGCGAAUAGCUCCAGCUCUUGACGGUAUCCCUUUAGAAAGCACCGGCUAACUCUGUGCCAGCAGCCGCGGUAAGACAGAGGGUGCAAACGUUGCUCGGAAUUACUGGGCGUAAAGCGCGUGUAGGCGGACUGAUAAGUCGGACGUGAAAGCCCUGGGCUCAACCCAGGAACUGCAUCCGAAACUGUCAGCCUGGAGUGGUGGAGAGGGAAGCAGAAUUCCUGGUGUAGAGGUGAAAUUCGUAGAUAUCAGGAGGAACACCGGUGGCGAAGGCGGCUUCCUGGACACUUACUGACGCUGAGACGCGAAAGCGUGGGGAGCAAACAGGAUUAGAUACCCUAGUAGUCC